rnacentral:tRNA from 1 species
UAGAUUGAAGCCAGAAAUUGGGCGUUUAGCUGUUAACUAAAAUUAUGUGGGUUAAAGUCCAAUCAGUCUAG